rnacentral:rRNA from 1 species
GAUGAACGCUGGCGGCGUGCCUAAUACAUGCAAGUCGAGCGAACAGACAAGGAGCUUGCUCCUUUGACGUUAGCGGCGGACGGGUGAGUAACACGUGGGUAACCUACCUAUAAGACUGGGAUAACUUCGGGAAACCGGAGCUAAUACCGGAUAAUAUUUCGAACCGCAUGGUUCGAUAGUGAAAGAUGGUUUUGCUAUCACUUAUAGAUGGACCCGCGCCGUAUUAGCUAGUUGGUAAGGUAACGGCUUACCAAGGCGACGAUACGUAGCCGACCUGAGAGGGUGAUCGGCCACACUGGAACUGAGACACGGUCCAGACUCCUACGGGAGGCAGCAGUAGGGAAUCUUCCGCAAUGGGCGAAAGCCUGACGGAGCGACGCCGCGUGAGUGAUGAAGGUCUUCGGAUCGUAAAACUCUGUUAUUAGGGAAGAACAUACGUGUAAGUAACUAUGCACGUCUUGACGGUACCUAAUCAGAAAGCCACGGCUAACUACGUGCCAGCAGCCGCGGUAAUACGUAGGUGGCAAGCGUUAUCCGGAAUUAUUGGGCGUAAAGCGCGCGUAGGCGGUUUUUUAAGUCUGAUGUGAAAGCCCACGGCUCAACCGUGGAGGGUCAUUGGAAACUGGAAAACUUGAGUGCAGAAGAGGAAAGUGGAAUUCCAUGUGUAGCGGUGAAAUGCGCAGAGAUAUGGAGGAACACCAGUGGCGAAGGCGACUUUCUGGUCUGUAACUGACGCUGACGUGCGAAAGCGUGGGGAUCAAACAGGAUUAGAUACCCUGGUAGUCCACGCCGUAAACGAUGAGUGCUAAGUGUUAGGGGGUUUCCGCCCCUUAGUGCUGCAGCUAACGCAUUAAGCACUCCGCCUGGGGAGUACGACCGCAAGGUUGAAACUCAAAGGAAUUGACGGGGACCCGCACAAGCGGUGGAGCAUGUGGUUUAAUUCGAAGCAACGCGAAGAACCUUACCAAAUCUUGACAUCCUUUGACAACUCUAGAGAUAGAGCCUUCCCCUUCGGGGGACAAAGUGACAGGUGGUGCAUGGUUGUCGUCAGCUCGUGUCGUGAGAUGUUGGGUUAAGUCCCGCAACGAGCGCAGCCCUUAAGCUUAGUUGCCAUCAUUAAGUUGGGCACUCUAAGUUGACUGCCGGUGACAAACCGGAGGAAGGUGGGGAUGACGUCAAAUCAUCAUGCCCCUUAUGAUUUGGGCUACACACGUGCUACAAUGGACAAUACAAAGGGCAGCGAAACCGCGAGGUCAAGCAAAUCCCAUAAAGUUGUUCUCAGUUCGGAUUGUAGUCUGCAACUCGACUACAUGAAGCUGGAAUCGCUAGUAAUCGUAGAUCAGCAUGCUACGGUGAAUACGUUCCCGGGUCU